rnacentral:tRNA from 1 species
GCAUAAAAAGCGAAAAAUUGCAUACGGUUUCGGCCCGUAAUUUGGGGGUGUAAGUCCUCCUUUAUGCU